UGAAAAGUAAACUAAAUAUUAAGUUAUUGAGCUCAUAACUCAAAAAUAGUCUUUGACUCUUUUUAA
rnacentral:tRNA from 1 species